rnacentral:rRNA from 1 species
GAUGAACGCUGGCGGCGUGCCUAAUACAUGCAAGUCGAGCGAACAGACGAGAAGCUUGCUUCUCUGACGUUAGCGGCGGACGGGUGAGUAACACGUGGAUAACCUACCUAUAAGACUGGGAUAACUUCGGGAAACCGGAGCUAAUACCGGAUAAUAUUUUGAACCGCAUGGUUCAAUAGUGAAAGACGGUCUUGCUGUCACUUAUAGAUGGAUCCGCGCUGCAUUAGCUAGUUGGUAAGGUAACGGCUUACCAAGGCAACGAUGCAUAGCCGACCUGAGAGGGUGAUCGGCCACACUGGAACUGAGACACGGUCCAGACUCCUACGGGAGGCAGCAGUAGGGAAUCUUCCGCAAUGGGCGAAAGCCUGACGGAGCAACGCCGCGUGAGUGAUGAAGGUCUUCGGAUCGUAAAACUCUGUUAUUAGGGAAGAACAUAUGUGUAAGUAACUGUGCACGUCUUGACGGUACCUAAUCAGAAAGCCACGGCUAACUACGUG